AUUUAAAUAAUUUAACUAAAAUAUUGAUUUGUGGAAUCAAAAAUAUAAUUUAUAUUAUUUUAAAUC
rnacentral:tRNA from 1 species